AUUGAACGCUGGCGGCAUGCUUUACACAUGCAAGUCGAACGGUAACAGGUUAAGCUGACGAGUGGCGAACGGGUGAGUAAUGCAUCGGAACGUGCCCGAUCGUGGGGGAUAACGCAGCGAAAGCUGCGCUAAUACCGCAUACGAUCUGAGGAUGAAAGCGGGGGACCGUAAGGCCUCGCGCGAUCGGAGCGGCCGGUGUCAGAUUAGGUAGUUGGUGGGGUAAAGGCUCACCAAGCCAACGAUCUGUAGCUGGUCUGAGAGGACGACCAGCCACACUGGGACUGAGACACGGCCCAGACUCCUACGGGAGGCAGCGGUGGGGAAUUUUGGACAAUGGGGGCAACCCUGAUCCAGCCAUGCCGCGUGAGUGAAGAAGGCCUUCGGGUUGUAAAGCUCUUUCGGCCGGGACGAAAUCGCACUCUCUAAUACGGGGUGUGGAUGACGGUACCGGAAUAAGAAGCACCGGCUAACUACGUGCCAGCCGCCGCCGUAAAAC
rnacentral:rRNA from 1 species